rnacentral:rRNA from 1 species
AUGUUCGAGGAGAUGGCCGCCGAUUCCAGCAUGGGCAUGGGGAUGGGCUUCCACCAGGGGGCCUCCUCCUUGCACCACCACCACCAUAACAUGCUCUCCUUUCAAUCCAAUCCCGACUCCGCCCCCGCCCCCGCCCCCGCGCCCCCUGCCCCUCCCGUCUUCCUCCCCUCCCCCAACGCUCCCGUGCUCCAGGGGGCGUCGCCCAAGUACAAGUUCGUCACCGGCUCACCCUCCGACUGGACCCCCUAUGAGCUCUCCAUAUUCCAGGAGGGCCUCGCCAGGUAUGCUCGUGAGCCCACCAUUAUGAAAUACAUCAAGAUUGCUGCUAUGCUGCCCACUAAGACCAUCAGGGACGUCGCGUUAAGAUGCCGGUGGACUGCUGGAAAGGAGAGUAGGAGGAGGAAACCUGAUGAAUUCUAUGCAGGGAAAAGGAUAAGGGACUUGAAGGAGAAAAUGGUUGUUUCUACCUCACUAGCUAAUUUUCAGAUGGCACCUCCAAAUAAUUUAGUCCCCUUCUCGAUGUCGAUGCAUCAUCCAGGUCAGAAUAGCCUGGCUGCAAAUGAAGCAGUCCCUGUUUUAGAUAAUGCAACUCAGCAUCUUCUGGAGGAAAAUAACCAGUUACUCAAUCAGAUCUCUGCAAAUAUUGAAACUUUCAAGCUGGGGGAGAACAUGGAUCUCUUUCUACGUACGAAUAACAAUAUUCGAACAAUUUUGAAAAGAAUGAGUGAGACGCCUGGUGUCAUGGGUCAGAUGCGUCCCUUGCCAGAACCUGUAAAUGAAGGCCAACUAAAUUCACUUCUUCAACUGGAUAGAGUGGUUGCCUCUUAUGGUGAUAUACUACAUAACACUCAUAUGAAGGAUGAAGCAUGA